rnacentral:rRNA from 1 species
UACGUAGGUGGCAAGCGUUAUCCGGAAUUAUUGGGCGUAAAGAGCGCGCAGGUGGUUGAUUAAGUCUGAUGCGAAAGCCCACGGCUUAACCGUGGAGGGUCAUUGGAAACUGGUCGACUUGAGUGCAGAAGAGGGAAGUGGAAUUCCAUGUGUAGCGGUGAAAUGCGUAGAGAUAUGGAGGAACACCAGUGGCGAAGGCGACUCUCUGGUCUGUAACUGACGCUGAGGCGCGAAAGCGUGGGGAGCAAACAGGAUUA